UACAGAGGGGGCAAGCGUUGUUCGGAAUUACUGGGCGUAAAGGGCGCGUAGGCGGCCUUCUAAGUCGAACGUGAAAUCCCCGGGCUCAACCCGGGAACUGCGUCCGAUACUGGAAGGCUUGAAUCCGGGAGAGGGAUGUGGAAUUCCAGGUGUAGCGGUGAAAUGCGUAGAUAUUCGGAAGAACACCAGUGGCGAAGGCGACACACUGGCCCGUUACUGACGCUGAGGCGCGAAAGCGUGGGGAGCAAACAGG
rnacentral:rRNA from 1 species